rnacentral:rRNA from 1 species
CACGGGGGGAGCAAGCGUUGUUCGGAAUCACUGGGCGUAAAGAGCGUGUAGGCGGCCAGGUAGGUCUGCUGUGAAAACUCGAGGCUUAACCUCGAGCUGUCGGCGGAAACCAUCUGGCUAGAGUCCGGAAGAGGAGAAUGGAAUUCCCGGUGUAGCGGUGAAAUGCGCAGAUAUCGGGAAGAACACCCGUGGCGAAGGCGGUUCUCUGGGACGGUACUGACGCUGAGACGCGAAAGCGUGGGGAGCGAACAGG